AAACCCGCGAAGGGAUGUCUGGAGGAAGCCCAAGCGCAAAGGUGCGAGCCGACGGACAGAAACCGCAUAGAAGGCUCAGUCCCUGGGUGAGUCAGCACGAGGUGACGAAACCCAUCAGGGCAAGACGCUCGGCACGUCGUUCUCGCCUGCUGCGCACUCGAACCCAUGGAG
rfam:Marine metagenome 1092351369706, whole genome shotgun sequence.